rnacentral:rRNA from 1 species
AUUGAACGCUGGCGGCAUGCUUUACACAUGCAAGUCGAACGGUAACAGGUUAAGCUGACGAGUGGCGAACGGGUGAGUAAUGCAUCGGAACGUGCCCGAGCGUGGGGGAUAACGCAGCGAAAGCUGCGCUAAUACCGCAUACGAUCUGAGGAUGAAAGCGGGGGACCGUAAGGCCUCGCGCGAUCGGAGCGGCCGAUGUCAGAGUAGGUAGUUGGUGGGGAAAAGGCUCACCAAGCCGCCGAUCUGUAGCUGGUCUGAGGGGACGACCAGCCACACUGGGACUGAGACACGGCCCAGACUCCUACGGGAGGCAGCAGUGGGGAAUUUUGGACAAUGGGCGCAAGCCUGAUCCAGCAAUGCCGCGUGCAGGAAGAAGGCCUUCGGGUUGUAAACUGCUUUUGUACGGAGCGAAAAGGCUCUCUCUAAUACAGGGGGCUCAUGACGGUACCGUAAGAAUAAGCACCGGCUAACUACGUGCCAGCCGCCGCCGUAAAAC